ACUACAAAGAAAAUAAGAACCAUAAGGCCCAUUAGGACAUCCAGCCACAGCUGAGCCACCACCCUGUGACGUUCUCUCUGGACCUAACGUGGGCCCUUGGUCUCUGCCUGACACAGGAUCAUGACAAUAAAUGAAUCAACAAGCACAAAAGAUGAGGAGAUGAACUAGUAAGUUGACCAUCCUGAAAAUUCACCGAGGCCUCUCAACCUGGAAAAAAGGCCACUGAACAAAUAUGGUGACUGUGAUCCUAGCACCUAAAAGGCAGAGGCAGGAGGAUGCUGCCAAUUCUUGGCCAGGCUAAAUCCAGCAAUGAAGUACAGGCUGCCAUGAACUCUUCUGGCAAUCUUCUGGCAUCAGCCUGCCUGGUGCUGGAAUGACAGACAUGCGCUGCUGAGAAGACUCUUGGUUUGAACUUCUGUACCACAAUAAUAAAUAAAUAGAACUGCUUCA